rnacentral:rRNA from 1 species
CCUACGGGGGGCUGCAGUAAGGAAUCUUCGGCAAUGCGCGCAAGCGUGACCGAGCGACGCCGCGUGGAGGAUGAAGUCCUUCGGGAUGUAAACUCCUGUCAGGGGUUACCAAGUUCUGAGGAGCCCCAGAGGAAGUGGCGGCUAACUCUGUGCCAGCAGCCGCGGUAAGACAGAGGCCACAAGCGUUAGGCGGAAUCACUGGGCUUAAAGCGUGUGUAGGCGGAUCGUUAAGUGCUUUGUGAAAUCCCUCGGCUCAACCGGGGAACUGCUUGGCAUACUGGCGAUCUUGAGCCAUCUAGGGGCGACUGGAACAGACGGUGGAGCGGUGAAAUGCGUAGAUAUCGUCUGGAACGCCAAAGGUGAAAACAGGUCGCUGGGGAUGAGCUGACGCUGAGACACGAAAGCCAGGGGAGCAAACGGGCUUAGAUACCCCAGUAGUC